GCAACCACGAUUCAAAGACACAUUCCUGGAAGGCAAAAGCACUUGAGGGCAUUGGUGAGAAGGGUCCAGCCAGAGAGACCUAGAGGGCUGCAUAUGAACCCUAGGCUUCAGGUUCCCCAUCCCUGCGCCAUAGGAUAUGGUGCAAGACUCCUUACGCUGGCGAUGCCGACGGCGACACACAUAAGUUACAGUGGUGGAACACUCAGACGCGCUGAAAACGGAGCCUUAAAAGUCAUGGGUAGGACCAGUGGUUUGUGUGUGUUUUUAAAAAUUGUUUAGGGGUACUCUCAUUUUCCUAUUGAUAUUGAAAUACUGCCCCUCUAUGAGGC